CCUAGGGGAGGAGAGAGGGGAAAUUUGGACAAUGGGGGCAACCCUGAUCCAGCCAUGCCGCGUGAGUGAAGAAGGCCUUCGGGUUGUUUCUGUCAUCAUCUUUCGGCCGGGAAGAAAUCGCACAGGCUAAUACUCUGUGUGGAUGACGGUACCGGCAUAAGAAGCACCGGCUAACUACGUGCCAGCAGCCGCGGUAAU
rnacentral:rRNA from 1 species